CCUGAGGCUGGGGGAUCCCCCAUGCGGCCCCCGCGAGGGUUAAGGCUCCGCGGCAGAGCUGGCGGCGUCCCCGCCGGCCGCAGUGAGUCAGCGGGGAGAGGCCGCACAUCUGGAUCCGUCCUGCAGCAGCCGGACGGGGCCGCGAAUUCCCGGGGCUCCCGCAUGGCCCCGCCGAGCCCGGGGACGCCGGGGGACCCCGCGUGGCUGCGGGCGCUUUGGGUGCUGGCCUCGGUGCUGGGCCCCCUCUGCCUCUGGGCGCUCUUCGUGCUGCGGUGCCCGCGCCCCCCGGGGAAGCGGUCGGGAAGCGCGACGCCGCCGGCAGCCUCGCAGCGGGGCCGUGAGAGGGGCCCGAAGCAGCGCCCGGCGCCUGCUGGGGGACAGCGACCGGCAGGGACCAGGACGAGGACGAGGACGGGGACGAGGACGGGCAGCAGCCACCGGGCACACGCAGCGGUAGGGAGCUGGGGGGGGGGGGGGGG